rnacentral:lncRNA from 1 species
UUUCACAAGAUACUAUGUGGAAGUUAUUCACUUUGAAAUCUUUUGAAUUACUUGAAAAUAAUUGUCUCUCCGAAGAACCAAAAUUUUAAGUAUUUUUAGCUGUUAAACGGUAACUUUGUUCUUGCAAAGAUAUGAAGAACCAAAUUUUUUAGUAUUUUAGCUGUUAAACGGUAACAUUGUUCUGGCAAAGAUAGCAAGAUUCUCUAGACUGGUGCUUUAUGGUUUGGUUGCAUUUGGUUUGAAAUCCAUGAUAAAACAUUUCAAAGUCGAAUCUUUUGAUAUACCAUAUGUUCAACUGGGCUUUCUUUUGCUUUAUGUGGUGCAAGGCAAAUGCACAUUCAAGAUUUAAGUUGUGUCAAACUGUCAAUGGGUGCAAACUUGUUAUAGAUAUAUAUAUCUUCUAAUUUAUUUUGAACUAUAUAAUCUGAGCUAUAUAUAUUUAUGGUAGUUCUUUAUGGUAGCUACUGUAUGAUAUUAUUGCAUGCUAUUUUAUUU